AAAUACGUGCCAGCAGCCGCGGUAAUACGUAUGGUGCAAGCGUUAUCCGGAUUUACUGGGUGUAAAGGGAGCGUAGGCGGCGCGUUAAGUCUGAUGUGAAAACCCGAGGCUCAACCACGGGAGUGCAUUGGAAACUGGCGGGCUGGAGUGCCGGAGAGGUAAGCGGAAUUCCUAGUGUAGCGGUGAAAUGCGUAGAUAUUAGGAGGAACACCAGUGGCGAAGGCGGCUUACUGGACGGCAACUGACGCUGAGGCUCGAAAGCGUGGGGAGCAAACAGGAUUAGAAACCCCGGUAGUCCAAGAUCG
rnacentral:rRNA from 1 species